rnacentral:rRNA from 1 species
UACACUCCUACGGGAGGCAGCAGUGGGGAAUUUUGGACAAUGGGCGAAAGCCUGAUCCAGCAAUGCCGCGUGAGUGAAGAAGGCCUUCGGGUUGUAAAGCUCUUUUGUCAGGGAAGAAACGGUGAGAGCUAAUAUCUUUUGCUAAUGACGGUACCUGAAGAAUAAGCACCGGCUAACUACGUGCCAGCAGCCGCGGUAAUACGUAGGGUGCAAGCGUUAAUCGGAAUUACUGGGCGUAAAGCGUGCGCAGGCGGUUUUGUAAGUCUGAUGUGAAAUCCCCGGGCUCAACCUGGGAAUUGCAUUGGAGACUGCAAGGCUAGAAUCUGGCAGAGGGGGGUAGAAUUCCACGUGUAGCAGUGAAAUGCGUAGAUAUGUGGAGGAACACCGAUGGCGAAGGCAGCCCCCUGGGUCAAGAUUGACGCUCAUGCACGAAAGCGUGGGGAGCAAACAGGAUUAGAAACCCCGGUAGUCCCAUGAU